GACGUAGGGUGCGAGCGUUAAUCGGAAUUACUGGGCGUAAAGCGUGCGUAGGCGGUUCGUUAUGUCUGCUGUGAAAGCCCCGGGCUUAACCUGGGAAUGGCAGUGGAAACUGGCGGGCUUGAGUGUGGCAGAGGGGGGUGGAAUUCCGCGUGUAGCAGUGAAAUGCGUAGAGAUGCGGAGGAACACCGAUGGCGAAGGCAGCCCCCUGGGCUGACACUGACGCUGAGGCACGAAAGCGUGGGGAGCAAACAGG
rnacentral:rRNA from 1 species